GAUGAACGCUGGCGGCGUGCCUAAUACAUGCAAGUCGAGCGAAUGGAUUAAGAGCUUGCUCUUAUGAAGUUAGCGGCGGACGGGCGAGUAACACGUGGGUAACCUGCCCAUAAGACUGGGAUAACUCCGGGAAACCGGGGCUAAUAUCGGAUAACAUUUUGAACCGCAUGGUUCGAAAUUGAAAGGCGGCUUCGGCUGUCCCUUAUGGAUGGACCCGGGUCGCAUUAGCUAGUUGGUGAGGUAACGGCUCACCAAGGCCACGAUGCGUAGCCGACCUGAGAGGGUGAUCGGCCACACUGGGACUGAGACACGGCCCAGACUCCUACGGGAGGCAGCAGUAGGGAAUCUUCCGCAAUGGACGAAAGUCUGACGGAGCAACGCCGCGUGAGUGAUGAAGGCUUUCGGGUCGUAAAACUCUGUUGUUAGGGAAGAACAAGUGCUAGUUGAAUAAGCUGGCACCUUGACGGUACCUAACCAGAAAGCCACGGCUAACUACGUGCCAGCAGCCGCAGUAA
rnacentral:rRNA from 1 species